rnacentral:rRNA from 1 species
CACGUAGGAGGCGAGCGUUGUCCGGAAUCAUUGGGCGUAAAGAGCGCGCAGGCGGCUUGGCAAGUCGGGUGUGAAAUCCCGGGGCUCAACCCCGGGACUGCAUUCGAUACUGUCAGGCUAGAGGUAGGUAGGGGAGAUCGGAAUUCCUGGUGUAGCGGUGAAAUGCGCAGAUAUCAGGAGGAACACCGGUGGCGAAGGCGGAUCUCUGGGCCUUACCUGACGCUCAUGCACGAAGCGUGGGGAGCAAACAGG